GACGAACGCUGGCGGCGUGCUUAACACAUGCAAGUCGAACGGAAAGGCCUCUUUCGGGGGGUACUCGAGUGGCGAACGGGUGAGUAACACGUGAGUAACCUGCCCUUGACUUUGGGAUAACUUCAGGAAACUGGGGCUAAUACCGGAUAGGAGCUCCUGCUGCAUGGUGGGAGUUGGAAAGUUUCGGCGGUUGGGGAUGGACUCGCGGCUUAUCAGCUUGUUGGUGGGGUAGUGGCUUACCAAGGCUUUGACGGGUAGCCGGCCUGAGAGGGUGACCGGCCACAUUGGGACUGAGAUACGGCCCAGACUCCUACGGGAGGCAGCAGUGGGGAAUAUUGCACAAUGGGUGGAAGCCUGAUGCAGCAACGCCGUGUGCGGGAUGACGGCCUUCGGGUUGGAAACCGCUUUCGCUCAUGACGAAGCUUUGUGUGACGGUAGUGGGUAAAGAAGCACCGGCUAACUACGUG
rnacentral:rRNA from 1 species